rnacentral:rRNA from 1 species
AGAAUCAACGCUGGCGGCGUGCCUAACACAUGCAAGUCGAACGCGGUCGUCCCGCAAGGGGCGGCUGAGUGGCGAACGGGUGAGUAACGCGUGGGUGACCUACCUUCGAGUGGGGGAUAACGUCCCGAAAGGGACGCUAAUACCGCAUAACAUCCCGCCUUUGAACAGGUGGAGAUCAAAGCCGGGGAUCGCAAGACCUGGCGCUUGAUGAGGGGCCCGCGUCUGAUUAGCUAGUUGGUGGGGUAACGGCUCACCAAGGCGACGAUCAGUA